CAUGCUACGAAGGUCAGUCUCCAAAAGCAACUGCCAGCGUUAGGAAGGACACAAUUAGUCACUCCCUCCCACACUGGGCGCAACUGAGGCCAGACAGGACAAGGCAAGGAGCAUCUCCCACGACUUUUUCUUCUUCAAGAAAUACGGAGGCACUGAAUCCGGGUUGUCGCGAGAGGCAAACACGAGCACAAUCUCACCAUGAAUAAAGUUCUUCUUCUGACGGUGCUACUAGCGGUCCUCGUAGGCGUGGCGUGGUCCUUCCCACAGGUGGUCAUAACGCAGCCUCGAAAGUUCCCCGGAGAAAGGCGUCUGGGGACCAUUAACUACGGCCAAUAUCGCUUCGGCAAGAGAGGAUACCAGAGGAAGUGCCAUUCAAGAAAAAAGAACUGUAAGUUUCAUUAGAGAAAGGGAGAGAAAAACAAAAAAACUUACAGCUUAAACUGACAAAUGAAUCCAAGCUAACAGAGGCUACGCAUGGAAGGUAUACAUAGAAAAUUUAUAUUUAGUAUGUUGGAGUUUGUUAAAGUAUUGGAAAAUGAUAAACGUGUAGUGCAAACACAGAUUUUGGAUACGAAGUUAUGCAGUCGUUAACGAAAAGCAUGUUAGGCUAGGGAAGCUAAAUUAGUGUGUGAGGAAAAUGCAGCCACAGUGAAAGUUAUAUAUAUGAUUAAGAGACUUAAUAGUCAUGACAAAUUUCCAUCAAUUAUAGUAUCUGUACUCUUAUUGUCAUUACAACUGUGUUACCUUAAAAUCAAUUUAAGCUGAACGUCUUGAAAUACUCAAGUCAGCAAAAGUUCUGAUAAUAAUUUAUGGACAAAUUGCCAUAAAAUUGAAAAUUGGACCGUCUACUACCAUGUGAAUAGUUACAGGCAACAACGAAGACCGCAAAAGAGGUGUGAAAUCCAGUUAACGAUUUAUGUUCAUUUCCAUCGAUUUGGUGUCUCUUUGGCGUACCUUCCUUGAGGGAUCUGGUGAAACUAUUGUCAAAACUGUAGGUUAGGAGAAAACCUAUAGUAUGUAGUAAUUUGAUUUAUAUUAAAUCAUCCAUGUUUAUAAUUAUUUAGUACAUUUGUGCAUAUUUACGUAUAAGAAAUGCUGUUUUAUUCUGAAACAUUGUUAACAAGGUUGUUACACUUAGUAUUAUGUAUUUUUUAUUUUUAUACUUCAGUCAUUGAAUAUUUUACUACGACACUGUAAAUAUGUGUUAUAAAUACAUGUUACUUAAGUCGCUGACUGUUAUGCAAAUGCUACAACUGUGAAAAUAAAGACAUAUUUUCUUUUAAAA